UCCCAGCACGGCUCCAGCCCGUCCUCCGCCGCCGUUUCUCCCGCUGUCACUGGAGGGAGCUGCCUCUCCUCCAUCCGGCCCCGAGCUGCGGAGCGCGCCGGGGGGUGGAAGCAGGCGGGGGGGGGGCGGUCACGGAAAGCCGUGGAUGCGGUCACGCGCGUGUGUGGCACGAGGGGAUGUGCUGACGAGCUGUGGCUGAAUCCGCACGAGAGCAACGUUUAUCUGAACGCUGCAGGACGGGGUACACGUUGGGCAUCGUCGGGACGGGACGCACCUCGAGCCAUGGGUGCAGGUUUGGGCCCCGCAGUCAGGGGGGCACGGAACCGUCUGAGAGCAUCCUGGGCAGGGCUGCGGAGAUGGGGGAGGGUCUGAGGGCCCUGGGUUUGUGGGGCCCGGAGCAGAGGGACCCCCAUGGUGGGUGCAGCUCCUCGCAGGGAAAAACAGAACCGUGCUCUGCCAGAAAAGCUGGCAGAGCCUGAAUGUUGCCCCCCGAUUUAUACCGUGUGCGCACACCCCACCUUCGUGCGACCAUUUCAGCAUCCGGAGCACGACGCGGCACUCCGCUGCUGCGCCCGGGGGCGAAACGAGCUUGGCGUUCAGCAAAUGGAACAUUAAAAAUGUAUUUCUGAACGCAAGGGGGAGCGGAUGGAUAGCACGGGGCGGCGAGCUGCGCUCCUUGAGCAAUUGUGCUCGGGGCUGCCAUUAACCCCGCGGUUCUCUCCAGGGGAGGACGGAGCAGGAGCGGGCAGGCCAGGUGUUUGCACAGCUGCUCCGAGGGAUUUCCCGAGCCCUGUUGGUUCUUGCCUCUCGCUCCUGGAAUGAGCCGUUCUGUGGGUUUGAUGUUUUUCUUGUUGUUUCGGUGUUGUUUUCGGCUUUGUGGUAGGAUACCUGUAGUCAGGUGAAGGCACGGCGCUGUUUUGUCUGGCCCCGGUGCCAGCCUGGAUGGGCUGUGUUUGGGAAGAUCCAGGCUCCUGCUGGAUCCCCAGAUCCCUUCACAUGUAACAGCUGCCUCGAAGCUGCAAUACCGAUGGAUAUUGCUAGAUGAACAUGGAAUAAGGAAAAACCAGCUCAUGGUCACCGCUGCCCCAGGGCCUCAUUUCCAGUGGAAAAAUGUGGAUGCCUGUAAGCUUCAUGCAGACUGGAACCUACUGGUGGGGCUGGAACAGAGACUGAUAGCUCCUUACAGCUACUGGGAAUGUUCAGGCCAAGAAGACUUCGAGCACCCAAGGAGCAAAGUCUCUGAAUGCAGAGUCCUUGCACAUCUCCCCCAGAGCUACCAGUGCACUAUUAGGCAAAUAAUCCAGGCAGGACACUUACAGGCUUCUUUUUAU